GCCAUGUGAAUCGCACCCCUGGAACUGUGCAGGGCCCACCUGUGUGGCCACACGCAGUGACCCUGAGCAAAGGAGUGACCACAGAAGUGCAUGGCAAAGCAGAAAGGUGUGACGUCUUGGAGGACGCGGGAGGAAAGCACGCCCAGCGGACAGGAGCCAUCACGCGGCUGCGGGCUGCUGCUGAGAACCUGGCGUGGGCCACCGUCGUCAGCAGCGUGGAGGAACGCAUAUGCUGCCUCCUUUCUGAUAGGGAGACCCACCCACCUGUUCACCUCUCUGCAUGUGGUCUGCGAGCGGGCUUGGAGCCACAUCUGAAGCCUCACCUCUAGGAGCCAGUUUUGUCUCCUCCUCGUCCCUGCUUCUUAUCAGUCGUGGUACUUUUCUCUUGGGUCCUGACCCUCCAUUUCAGUUGGUGUUUUUCAUCUUUGGGAAGCACCCAGGCAUGGGGGCAGAAGCUUGGGUUUUAGAUUGGGCUGGGCUGGGUUCACAUCUCAACUGUGUGGCCUCAAACAGGUGACUUGACUUCUCUGAGCCUAACCAUUGCCGGUUUCCAUAUUUUAUAUGAAGUGAGCCCUAUUUUGCAGGUCAGGGAGCUGGGGCCUAGCUAGGACCCAAAGGAUUAUUCCAGUUUCUCAUAAAACAAGUACAUAGCAGUUAAUAUUUGCCAUAGGGUACACAAAAAGAUUCAUUGAUUGCCUUCCUAUUUUUAAUCUUCAGAGAAAGACGGAUGGGAUUUCAUUAGCUCAGGGUUGAGAACGUUGCCUCUGUGUAUUUUUGGAGAUGAGCCUUCCGAAGCAACAGGGGCUUAUGCUGCCUGAGAACUGGGGUGUCAACCAGCGUUCACUCCCAGACUUACCAGACAGUAGAGCCUCUCCCAUAAAAGGCACAUCGGAACCCACUUCGGACAAUGCUGCUGUGGGUUAUGGGUCAGAACUUUAAACAAGAGGUAGGGGUGGCCUCAUCCCUUGGGGCUGCUGUGUGCGAAUGACCUGGAGGAGGCUGUGGUGGGGCCAGGCAGGGCCAGUGGGCUGAGCCACGCAUCAGAGUAACCGGCCACACUUUAGAAAGGAGAUUCCUGGGCCUCUCCCUGGCUGCUGUGGUUCAGCAGGGGCGGCGGGGACCCAGGAGCUCCCAGGUGAUCUGACUCCUGGGGAGCAGGGUUUGUAUAAGCCCUGGGCCUGUUGAGGUCAGGGCCUGGUGACCCUAAUUCCUUCCAGACCUGGAUAGGGGUCUAGUCCAGAACCUGCCAGGGAUGGUUUGUCAAAUCUGUUACUCUUCUCCCAAGUAAACCACCAGGAACAAGACACUGUUUUAAAAAUUGUUACUUAUUAUCCCCUUUGGCUUAUUUUUUUUUCUUUCAAAAG
rnacentral:lncRNA from 10 species